UACGUAGGGUGCAAGCGUUAAUCGGAAUUACUGGGCGUAAAGCGCGCGCAGGCGGCGAUCUACGUCUGGGGUGAAAGCCCGGAGCUCAACUCCGGGACUGCCUUGGAUACGGGAUCGCUUGAGGAUUGGAGAGGCAAGGGGAAUUCCACGUGUAGCGGUGAAAUGCGUAGAUAUGUGGAGGAACACCUGUGGCGAAGGCGGGUCUCUGGGCCGUAACUGACGCUGAGGAGCGAAAGCGUGGGGAGCGAACAGG
rnacentral:rRNA from 1 species